GGGAGAGGAAUACGCGGGUACCUACCCUCGGAUCUGGGAUAGCCACGGGAAACUGUGGGUAAUACCAGAUAACGUCUCCGGACCAAAGGUGUGAUUCCGUCCGGGGAGGGGCCCACGUCCUAUUAGCUUGUUGGUGAGGUAACGGCUCACCAAGGCAAAGAUGGGUAUGGGGUGUGAGAGCAUGCCCCCACUCACUGGGACUGAGACACUGCCCAGACACCUACGGGUGGCUGCAGUCGAGAAUCUUCGGCAAUGGGCGCAAGCCUGACCGAGCGACGCCGCGUGCGAGAUGAAGGCCUUCGGGUUGUAAAUCGCUGUCAGAGGGGAGGAAAUGCCGGUGGGUUCUCCCAUCGGUUUGACCUAUCCUCAGAGGAAGGACGGGCUAAGUUCGUGCCAGCAGCCGCGGUAAGACGAACCGUCCAAACGUUAUUCGGAAUCACUGGGCUUAAAGGGUGCGUAGGCGGUCCGAAAAGUUGGGUGUGAAAGCCCUCGGCUCAACCGAGAAAUUGCGUCCAAAACUGUCGGACUCGAGGAAGACAGAGGUGAGCGGAACUUGGGGUGGAGCGGUGAAAUGCGUUGAUAUCCUAAGGAACACCAGUAGCGAAAGCGGCUCACUGGGUCUUUUCUGACGCUGAUGCACGAAAGCUAGGGGAGCGAAGAGGAUUAGAUACCCUCGUAGUCCUAGCCGUAAACGAUGAGCACUCGUUUGGAGGGUCCUCCAUAGCCUUCC
rnacentral:rRNA from 1 species